rnacentral:rRNA from 1 species
UACAGAGGUCCCAAGCGUUGUUCGGAUUCACUGGGCGUAAAGGGUGCGUAGGCUGCGCAGAAAGUUGGGUGUGAAAUCCCUCGGCUCAACCGAGGAACUGCGCCCAAUACUACUGUGCUCGAGGGAGACAGAGGUGAGCGGAACUUAGGGUGGAGCGGUGAAAUGCGUUGAUAUCCUAAGGAACACCCGUGGCGAAAGCGGCUCACUGGGUCUCUUCUGACGCUGAGGCACGAAAGCUAGGGUAGCGAACGGG